GGGCAGGAUGUGUGAAGUAGUCCCACCAUGCAAGCAUGGCGGAGUCUCUUCACUGGCCCUUAUUCGCACCUGCGGUGCUCAACGUUCAUCUUGCCCUGCGGGGCU
rfam:Oceanimonas sp. GK1, complete genome.